CCUACGGGAGGCAGCAGUGGGGAAUCUUGCGCAAUGGGCGAAAGCCUGACGCAGCAACGCCGCGUGCGGGAAGAAGGCUUUCGGGCUGUAAACCGCUUUCAGCAGGAACGAAAAUGACGGUACCUGCAGAAGAAGGAGCGGCCAACUAUGUGCCAGCAGCCGCGGUGAUACAUAGGCUUCAAGCGUUGUCCGGAUUUAUUGGGCGUAAAGAGUUCGUAGGCGGUCAAGUAAGUCGGGUGUGAAAAUUCUGGGCUCAACCCAGAGACGCCACCCGAUACUGCUUAACUUGAGUUCGAUAGGGGAGUGGGGAAUUCCUAGUGUAGCGGUGAAAUGCGCAGAUAUUAGGAGGAACACCGGUGGCGAAGGCGCCACUCUGGAUCGAUACUGACGCUGAGGAACGAAAGCAUGGGUAGCAAACAGGAUUAGAUACCCUGGUAGUCCAUGCCGUAAACGGUGGGCACUAGGUGUGGGUUUCUAUUAACGAAAUCCGCGCCGUCGCUAACGCAUUAAGUGCCCCGCCUGGGGAGUACGGUCGCAGACUAAACUAAAUAGAUAGACGCGNGAGACGUGCGACGGACGACGACGAGGGAGGUAG
rnacentral:rRNA from 1 species